AAAAAAGGAGGAAAGGAAAAAAAACAAGAACCCUAGGUGGGAAAAUUGAAGAAAAAGUGUGGGAUUUCAAGGGAUUAAGCUAAUAAAGGUAAAAUUUCUUGAUUUUGACUUGUGAUUUACACUACCCAUGCUUUCUUUUUCAUUUUUUAUGGUUAGAUUUCAUGUUUUCAUGGUGAAUUCAUGGCUGGUUGGAAUGGGUAUGGAGAGAGAAUGAAGUUGGAUUGAUUUGAUUCUAAGUUAUGUUAGUGUUUUUAGUUAGUUUAUCAUGUCUUGAAACAAACCAACAAGAAAAAUUCAUUUUCUCCCAUUACCCAUCAUUCGCCGAAUUUUCUAGGGAGGAUAUUGUGGCUGAAAUUGAUGAUAUUUCAUGACAUUUUGGUGAAAUUUGAUGUUUGGUAAGGCUAGAAAUUAAAUGGGAAAUUUUGGUGUGAAAAUCUGAAUUUUUGCUUAACGUAUAGACAUGUGUGAUUAUUGAGACAUGACUGAUAAAUUGAAUUUCAUUCACAGUCACUGAGGUAAUUUAGGUAUAAUUGGAGUGUAGAAAGUGAGAAGAAUUGAUUUGGAGUUAAAUUGGAAAUUUUAGCCGAUUAGACCGAGUAUAGUGUGACUUAGGUCGAAUAUCACAUUUAAGUGAUUAAUCAGACAUUUUGCAUCCCAUCACAUGCAUUCAUUUAGAUUUAGAAAGCCUGAAAUAGUUUAUGAUAAAUUGACACAAUUUAUUGAAAUUCGUGUCACAUAUGAUGUAUAGGUGGUGAGCCCUUUAAUAAGGGUAAAGAGAUUGUGCACGAAGAUCGGGAAUAAGAGUAUAUCGAAUUCCUAGUACAGUGAGUAACCUUACUAUCAUCUUAAUUAUCUAGAG
rnacentral:lncRNA from 1 species